GACGAACGCUGGCGGCGUGCUUAACACAUGCAAGUCGAACGGAAAGGCCCUGCUUUUGUGGGGUGCUCGAGUGGCGAACGGGUGAGUAACACGUGAGUAACCUGCCCUUGACUUUGGGAUAACUUCAGGAAACUGGGGCUAAUACCGGCUAGGAGCUCCUGCUGCAUGGUGGGGGUUGGAAAGUUUCGGCGGUUGGGGAUGGACUCGCGGCUUAUCGGCUUGUUGGUGGGGUAGUGGCUUACCAAGGCUUUGACGGGUAGCCGGCCUGGGAGGGUGACCGGCCACAUUGGGACUGAGAUACGGCCCAGACUCCUACGGGAGGCAGCAGUGGGGAAUAUUGCACAAUGGGCGGAAGCCUGAUGCAGCAACGCCGCGUGCGGGAUGACGGCCUGCGGGUUGUAAACCGAUUUCGCCUGUGACGAAGCGUGAGUGACGGUAAUGGGUAAAGAAGCACCGGCUAACUACGUG
rnacentral:rRNA from 1 species